rnacentral:rRNA from 1 species
AUUGAACGCUGGCGGCAGGCCUAACACAUGCAAGUCGAGCGGAGCGGCGGACGGGUGAGUAAUGCCUAGGAAUCUGCCUGGUCGUGGGGGAUAACGACCGGUACCGGGCGCUAAUACCGCAUACUAUCAGAAGAGCCUAGGUCGGAUUAGCUUGUUGGUGGGGUAACGGCCUACCAAGGCGACGAUCCGUAACUGGUCUGAGAGGAUGAUCAGGCACAUUUGAACUGAGACACGGUCCAGACUCCUACGGGAGGCAGCAGUGGGGAAUAUUGGACAAUGGGCGAAAGCCUGAUCCAGCCAUGCCGCGUGUGUGAAGAAGGUCUUCGGAUUGUAAAGUACUUUAAGUUGGGAGGCGUUACCUACAGAAUAAGCACCGGCUAACUUCGUGCCAGCAGCCGCGGUAAUAC